rnacentral:lncRNA from 1 species
UGACAGGGAAGGACCCUGGGGUCACAUCACAGGGCUCACGGUGAUAGGGAGGUGGGAGAAUAUGCUCCCCCAGAGUGCGGGACAGUGGUAGACAAGUAGGAGGCAUAUCUUAUGCAUAUUUUUGGAUGCUGAGUUUGAUUUAUCCAAAAGGAGACAUCGAACAGGCAGUUGGAUUUUUGGGUCAGGAGCUCCAAGGAGGGUCCACACUGUGAGUCAUCUCAACUGGGAGAUAAUUGACGCUGUGGGUGUGGAUGAGGUGGCUUCGGCUUGCAGAGCAAUGCGUGGGAAGAAAGGGCUCAAGAUGGAGACUGGCUUUUUCGCGGUCCAUGGGAAAGCGGGCUGCAUCUGGAAAGGAAGCCGAUAAGGACUGACCCCUGUACAGAUGGGGUCCUCGGCGGGGUCCUCUGUGGAGUCUUCAGCAAGCUCUCCUGCUGGAUCCUCUGCAAAGCUGCUUUCCAAACCUCUGUUGUUGUUGUGUUUUAAUUUUUGCUGUUGUGGUUUCUUUGUUUGUUUGUUUGUUUUGUGUUGCCGUAGGGUCUCACAUGUCCCAGGCUGGUGUCUAUCUUGAUCUAAGAAUCACAGAUGACCCUGAGCUGACCGUAGUGCCCACACUUCCCAAAUGCUGGGAUUACAGGUGUACUCCCCACUACCUGGUUUAUGUAGCCUUGUGGAUGCUAUGUAAGCGUUUCCCAGCUGAGUCAAACCCCCAGCUCCUGCUUCAGUUUCUUCACGGAUAAAAAACAUUGCCAUUUUAUUUACCAGAAAAGAUCUUAGCCUUACUAUGAAACAAAACAAAACACAACACAACAACAACAACAACAAACCCAGCAUGCAAGCGCGUUGAUACUCUCCACUGUGGACUUAGUCAGGAGUGGCUCCAUAUCUUCUGGUCAGAGUAGAACCACUGGCUACAAGCGAUGAGCCAUAUUCCGAUAAAGCUAUUAUUUCCUAUCUGACUGGCUCAAUCUGGAGAGGUUAAGGUUUGGGUCAGGAAGAAAGUUUCACUGACCAAGUCCGGUGUGCAAAAGGAUGUCAUGGAUAGUUAGGGCUCUGGAGAAGGAAAAAAAAAAAAAAAAAGACUUGUGUUUUAAGC